UACGGAGGAUCCAAGCGUUAUCCGGAUUUAUUGGGUUUAAAGGGUGCGUAGGCGGCCUGUUAAGUCAGGGGUGAAAGACGGUAGCUCAACUAUCGCAGUGCCCUUGAUACUGAUGGGCUUGAAUGGACUAGAGGUAGGCGGAAUGAGACAAGUAGCGGUGAAAUGCAUAGAUAUGUCUCAGAACACCGAUUGCGAAGGCAGCUUACUAGACUGUAACUGACGCUGAGGCACGAAAGUGUGGGGAUCAAACAGG
rnacentral:rRNA from 1 species